UGGGGAAUAUUGGACAAUGGGCGAAAGCCUGAUCCAGCCAUGCCGCGUGUGUGAAGAAGGUCUUCGGAUUGUAAAGCACUUUAAGUUGGGAGGAAGGGCAUUAACCUAAUACGUUAGUGUUUUGACGUUACCGACAGAAUAAGCACCGGCUAACUCUGUGCCAGCAGCCGCGGUAAUACAGAGGGUGCAAGCGUUAAUCGGAAUUACUGGGCGUAAAGCGCGCGUAGGUGGUUUGUUAAGUUGGAUGUGAAAUCCCCGGGCUCAACCUGGGAGCUUCAUUCAAAACUGAGUGACUAGAGUAUGGUAGAGGGUGGUGGAAUUUCCUGUGUAGCGGUGAAAUGCGUAGAUAUAGGAAGGAACAACAGUGGCGAAGGCGACCACCUGGACUAAUACUGACACUGAGGUGCGAAAGCGUGGGGAGCAAACA
rnacentral:rRNA from 1 species